rnacentral:rRNA from 2 species
UCGAACGAUGAAGAUUAUUAGACUUCUUCGGAAUGAAAAUAAUUGGAUUAGUGGCGGACGGGUGAGUAACGCGUGAGUAACCUGCCUUACACAAGGGGAUAGCCGUUGGAAACGACGAAUAAUACCCUAUGAAACUAUCACUUCGCAUGAAGCGAUAGUCAAAGUGUUAGCGGUGUAAGAUGGACUUGCGUCUGAUUAGCUAGUUGGUGAGAAAAAAGCCCACCAAGGCAACGAUCAGUAGCCGGCUUGAGAGAGUGUACGGCCACAUUGGGACUGAGACACGGCCCAGACUCCUACGGGAGGCAGCAGUGGGGAAUUUUGCACAAUGGGGGAAACCCUGAUGCAGCGACGCCGCGUGAUUUAGAAGGCCUUCGGGUUGUAAAAAUCUUUUGUAUAGGAAGAAAAUGACAGUACUAUACGAAUAAGGUCCGGCUAAUUACGUGCCAGCAGCCGCGGUAAUACGUAAGGACCGAGCGUUGUCCGGAAUCAUUGGGCGUAAAGGGUACGUAGGCGGGUCAUUAAGUUAGAAGUCAAAGGCUAUAGCUCAACUAUAGUAAGCUUCUAAAACUGGAGACCUUGAGUAAUGGAAGGGAAAGUGGAAUUCCUAGUGUAGCGGUGGAAUGCGCAGAUAUUAGGAGGAAUACCGGUGGCGAAGGCGACUUUCUGGCCAUUAACUGACGCUGAGGUACGAAAGCGUGGGUA